AACCGUUCAGUUUUUUACAUGAGCAAUUCAGCUACACAAAACUUAACAAAGGUUUGAAAGAUCAAACAUAAAUUGACUAGAAUGUACAUGUAGGACUUUGUAGCAAACAUAAAAAUACUUUUCUCUUGACCAAUAAUUUCACAAUACGUUCAGUUUUCGAAGUUACACAUUUUGCAGCUUUGUUAGUUUGAGCAAAUGGUUGAUAUAUCAGAUUGUAUGAUAUUGAGCGAUAGACGCUCACGAGAUUCAUAUCUCGGGAUAAGAACUGUUAGAUGACUAAAAAUCAAUGAACUACAUACAUAUAGAUACCCUCAUGGACCAUUUCCACAAGAAACCUAUAUGUAAUUCUCAAUGUUCUUAAUUUUUUCUUUGUAUGAACCCGUCACACGCACAUCACGCGUCACCAAAAACAUACCAUUUUUAUAAGAGACUGUGGAUUUAAUCCAAAGAGAUCCUUAAUCGAGACAUUUGACUUCACACCAACAUCCUUGUCUCCAAAAACAGUCCCAACUCCAAUCAAUUUCACAACAUCUAGAAAAUAUUGUAAUGUACAACUCAAGAAACAAGAUGUAACUUAUUGUGUUAUGUUUUAGUUCAAAUUUUCGUAAUCUUCCAAAUUGUCUCGAGUAGUUUCGGCUUGUAGAAAUAAUAAACUAUUUGGUUUUCUUUUGGAACAGCUCUAAAAUACGUAAAGUUGAAUUGCA
rnacentral:lncRNA from 1 species